rnacentral:rRNA from 1 species
GUCUAUAGCCAUACCACCCUGAUCUCGUGAAGCUAAGCAAGGUGGGGCCUGGUUAGUACUUGGAUGGGAGACUGCCUGGGAAUAUAAGCUGCUGUUGGCU